AUACUUACCUGGCAGGGGAGAUACCAUGAUCAUGAAGGUGGUUUUCCCAGGGCGAGGCUCACCCAUUGCACUCCGGCUGUGCUGACCCCUGCGAUUUCCCCAAAUGUGGGAAACUCGACUGCAUAAUUUGUGGUAGUGGGGGACUGCGUUCGCGCUUUCCCCUG
ensembl:snRNA U1 U1 spliceosomal RNA